rnacentral:rRNA from 1 species
UACGGGGGGGGCAAGCGUUGUUCGGAAUUACUGGGCGUAAAGGGCUCGUAGGCGGUCAACUAAGUCAGACGUGAAAAUCCCCUGCUGGACCGAUUAACCGGGAACUGCAUCUGAUACUGGAUGGCUUGAGUUCGGGAGAGGGAUGCGGAAUUCCAGGUGUAGCGGUGAAAUGCGUAGAUAUCUGGAGGAACACCGGUGGCGAAGGCGGCAUCCUGGACCGACACUGACGCUGAGGAGCGAAAGCCAGGGGAGCAAACGGG